AUGUGGCUUAGUGGUAGAGUGCUUGCCUACCAUGCAUGAAGCCCUGGGUUCAAUUCCUCAGUAU
rnacentral:tRNA from 1 species